rnacentral:rRNA from 1 species
CCUACGGGAGGCAGCAGUAGGGAAUAUUGCUCAAUGGGGGAAACACUGAAGCAGCAACGCCGCGUGGAGGAUGAAGGUUUUCGGAUUGUAAACUCCUUUUGUUAGAGAAGAUAAUGACGGUAUCUAACGAAUAAGCACCGGCUAACUCCGUGCCAGCAGCCGGGGUAAUACGGCGGGUGCAAGCGUUACUCGGAAUCACUGGGCGUAAAGAGCGCGUAGGCGGGAUAGCAAGUCAGAUGUGAAAUCCUAUGGCUUAACCCUAGAACUGCAUUUGAAACUGGUAGUCUAGAGUAUGGGAGAGGUAGGUGGAAUUCGUGGUGUAGGGGUAAAAUCCGUAGAGAUCAAGCGGAAUACUCAUUGCGAAGGCGACCUGCUAGAACAUAACUGACGCUGAUGCGCGAAAGCGUGGGGAGCGAACAGGAUUAGAUACCCGAGUAGUC